UACGAAGGGGGCUAGCGUUGUUCGGAAUUACUGGGCGUAAAGAGCUCGUAGGCGGCUUGUCACGUCGACUGUGAAAACCCGGGGCUCAACUCCGGGCCUGCAGUCGAUACGGGCUGGCUUGAGUGCGGUAGGGGAGACUGGAAUUCCCGGUGUAGCAGUGAAAUGCGUAGAUAUUGGGAGGAACACCAGUGGCGAAGGCGGCUCACUGGACCGGAACUGACGCUGAGGCGCGAAAGCGUGGGGAGCAAACGGGG
rnacentral:rRNA from 1 species